rnacentral:rRNA from 1 species
GACGAACGCUGGCGGCGUGCUUAACACAUGCAAGUCGAACGGAAAGGCCCUGCUUUUGUGGGGUGCUCGAGUGGCGAACGGGUGAGUAACACGUGAGUAACCUGCCCUUGACUUUGGGAUAACUUCAGGAAACUGGGGCUAAUACCGGAUAGGAGCUCCUGCUGCAUGGUGGGGGUUGGAAAGUUUCGGCGGUUGGGGAUGGACUCGCGGCUUAUCAGCUGGUUGGUGGGGUAGUGGCUUACCAAGGCUUUGACGGGUAGCCGGCCUGAGAGGGUGACCGGCCACAUUGGGCCUGCGAUACGGCCCAGACUCCUACGGGAGGCAGCAGUGGGGAAUAUUGCACAAUGGGCGGAAGCCUGAUGCAGCAACGCCGCGUGCGGGAUGACGGCCUUCGGGUUGUAAACCGCUUUCGCCUGUGACGAAGCGUGAGUGACGGUACUGGGUAAAGAAGCACCGGCUAACUACGUG